rnacentral:rRNA from 1 species
CAGCAGCCGCGGGAAUACGAAGGGGGCUAGCGUUGUUCGGAAUCACUGGGCGUAAAGCGCACGUAGGCGGACCUUUAAGUCAGGGGUGAAGGCCUGGAGCUCAACUCCAGAACUGCCUUUGAUACUGGAGGUCUCGAGUGUGGAAGAGGCUGGUGGAACUGCGAGUGUAGAGGUGAAAUUCGUAGAUAUUCGCAAGAACACCAGUGGCGAAGGCGGCCAACUGGUCCAUUACUGACGCUGAGGUGCGAAAGCGUGGGGAGCAAACAGGAUUAGAUACCCCUGUAGUCCCUGUCUCUUAUAC